AUGCUCGCUUAGCCGGCACAUACACUAUAAUUGGAACGAUACAAAGAAGAUUAGCGUGGCCCCUGUGCAAGGAUGACAUGCAAAUUUGUGAAGCAUUCCAUAUUUUU
rnacentral:snRNA from 1 species